rnacentral:lncRNA from 12 species
UUUGGAUCUGUUUACUGUCCUUUAUCUUUGCUGAAUAUUAAUGCAUGCAGAAAUACCUUGAGAGUGGAUGGUCCUAGUGAGGCUAGUCUCUCCUCCUUGAACCUGCCGACUCCUUUAAUUACUCCUGACCUCCUUGUGUGGAAUGUGUUGUGCAGUGUUGGAUUCAAGCUCACAAAUCAUACACUACUAUAUUGUUGUGUCUGACAGGUGACAAUGAGCGUAGCUGUGAUUUAGUGCCGGAGAUGGACACCCAGAGAGCCAAAUGCUGCUAAGAGUAUGUUACUAUAUUUUAAGGAAUAUUGUUCCAGGCCCGUCCAAAGAUCCAAAUUGGAAUUUGUCCUACAUUACCUGGCAAAGUCCUACUUGGCAAAAUCGCAACAACCCUGCUGUAGAAGCUCAUGGGUAAUGAUCACGGAGAAACAUGCUCAAUGUGUCUUUUCAUAUGUGAGAUCCCUCCAAAAACCUGUCUACCUUUGUUUGUUGCCACUUUGUCUUCUGUUUUAGCCCUUGUUCUUCAUCCUGAAUGCAAAUGGGGGACAAGAAACCAGUGUAGAGAGUGAAAGUAAAGACGAAGAAGAGAAAGGUUUCAAUUUCUGACGGAGUCAUGAAAACCCAAUUAAGCCACUCCACAAAGAAACAUCAAGUGCUUUCACACGGCGGCCGCAUGCCUGUGGGAAUUUGAGUAAGUUCAAUUACUUUGGGAUUAAUUCGGGGUCACGAGGGUCCGUUUGUAGAAUUCUGUUCAGAGAGAGCGAGGAAAAUUAGUAGAUGGAGGAGUGGAGGUCUCACUGGUAUUUAGUGCUGCAGGUUUGACAGAGACACCAAAGCUGCUGUAUCUACUGUAACGAAGAAUGAGGUCAAGUGCUAAAGAAUGUCUAAACACUCAAGACAGUAGCAAAUAUUAUUUGGGAUUCUUUGAAACAAGCUUGACAAGUCUGUGCUAUCCUCAUUGAGUUUGCCAUGCUGUCUUCCCACCUAGAAUUUUUGCUUAUAGGCCUAAAAAAUGUAUAUUUUACAAUAAAGACAUUCUUGUUCAUGAAAACAUUUUUUUCCCCUCUAGUGUUGAAGCUGUAAGAUUCCUAUUCUAGAUAGCAC